rnacentral:lncRNA from 10 species
CUUCCGAGUGCAGUGAGGCAUACAUCACAAUUUGGAAUUAUGCAUUGGUUUAUCAAUUUACUUGUUUAUUGUCACCCUGCUGCCCAGAUAUGACUUCAUGAGGGUUCUGUGGGUAGAUGUGCGGGUUUGUUACAUGGGUAAAUUGCAUGUUGCUGAGGCUUGGUGUACGAAUGAUCCUGUCACUCAGACAGUGAUGUGUGUUCUGAAAUUGUGAACCAUGAGUCUAGUACUUAAUGAUCUGCUUAUCUGCUGCCGUCAACUAGAACAUGAUAGAGCUACAGAACGAAAGAAAGAAGUUGAGAAAUUUAAGCGCCUGAUUCGAGAUCCUGAAACAAUUAAACAUCUAGAUCGGCAUUCAGAUUCCAAACAAGGAAAAUAUUUGAAUUGGGAUGCUGUUUUUAGAUUUUUACAGAAAUAUAUUCAGAAAGAAACAGAAUGUCUGAGAAUAGCAAAACCAAAUGUAUCAGCCUCAACACAAGCCUCCAGGCAGAAAAAGAUGCAGGAAAUCAGUAGUUUGGUCAAAUACUUCAUCAAAUGUGCAAACAGAAGUAAGUGAUGUUAUAAAUUAUAAAUAAAUGGCUUAACAG